rnacentral:rRNA from 1 species
GAUGAAGCGUUGAAUUGAAGCCCGAGUAAACGGCGGCCGUAACUAUAACGGUCCUAAGGUAGCGAAAUUCCUUGUCGGUUAAAUACCGACCUGCAUGAAUGGCGUAACGAGAUGGGAGCUGUCUCAACCAGAGAUUCAGUGAAAUUGUAGUGGAGGUGAAAAUUCCUCCUACCCGCGGCAAGACGGAGAGACCCCGUGGACCUUUACUACAACUUAUCACUGCUAACGGGAAUAUCAUGCGCAGGAUAGGUGGGAGGCUUUGAAGUAAGGGCUUUGGCUCUUAUGGAGG